UCACUACGGAAUAGCUCUUGGAAACGAGUGGUAAUACCGUAUACGCCCUUCGGGGGAAAGAUUUAUCGGUGAAAGAUCGGCCCGCGUUAGAUUAGCUAGUUGGUAGGGUAAUGGCCUACCAAGGCGACGAUCUAUAGCUGGUCUGAGAGGAUGAUCAGCCACACUGGGACUGAGACACGGCCCAGACUCCUACGGGAGGCAGCAGUGGGGAAUCUUGCACAAUGGGCGAAAGCCUGAUGCAGCCAUGCCGCGUGAAUGAUGAAGGCCUUAGGGUUGUAAAAUUCUUUCGCUAGGGAUGAUAAUGACAGUACCUAGUAAAGAAGCCCCGGCUAACUUCGUGCCAGCAGCCGCGGUAAUACGAAGGGGGCUAGCGUUGUUCGGAAUUACUGGGCGUAAAGCGCACGUAGGCGGACUUUUAAGUCAGAUGUGAAAUCCCGGGGCUCAACCUCGGAACUGCAUUUGAAACUGGAAGUCUAGAGACCAGGAGAGGUUAGCGGAAUACCGAGUGUAGAGGUGAAAUUCGUAGAUAUUCGGUGGAACACCAGUGGCGAAGGCGGCUAACUGGACUGGUACUGACGCUGAGGUGCGAAAGUGUGGGGAGCAAACAGGAUUAGAUACCCUGGUAGUCCACACCGUAAACGAUGAGAGCUAGUUGUUGGCAGGCAUGCCUGUCGGUGACGCAGCUAACGCAUUAAGCU
rnacentral:rRNA from 1 species